CAGCUGUGUCAUUCCCCUCCCACAGCUCACAUCCAGCUGCUUUUGUUUCUCUCUAAUUGCCAGUGGUCUCACUCACAUGUCAUGCUCUCUCUUUAUUAGUCCUUCUCUCAGUCUCUCUGGAAGGAUGAGUUACUUUAGAUUGUUGUUUAGACUACUUUUGUUAGUUUCUUAAAAAAUGAAGAUGAAAAGGAGAGAUGCUCAAUACCUGCUGCUGCACAGGUAGGGGUCCCCAUGUGCUAGCUGAGAAAUCCCCAGGAAGUGAUCAGUUGCCAGAUGUUGCAGAAACACAGCUUCAAAGUUGAAACCUCUGCUACUGUCAUCAGGAUAAUCCACAAUGAAUGUCAAAUUUCGACUGUAUGAAGCUGGCACUGCAGGACUUGUGGAUACCUUUGUUAACCUGUGUGCUGUUCCCAGGGCAUCCAAAGCCACUGCAGCUGCAUCGAAAGUGCUCCUUUUGUAGCUGUUUGGGGACCAGGACCAGCAAAAUACCACUGAAUUCCAGGAAUCAGCUAUUGAUAGAGCUGUGA
rnacentral:lncRNA from 1 species